rnacentral:lncRNA from 1 species
UCUAUGUUCUUUGUAAUUAUUUUGGUAGAAUAUGUUCUCAACAGAAUUUUCAGCUGUCCUAAGAUUAUUGAUCGAUUGGUUUGGGGGUCAUAAAAAACGUGGCAAAGAAAGUUAUCAUUAAAAAAAUAAAGUAACACUCAAAAGAUUUUGACUUCUGUGAAUGAAGAAAUAACACCAGCUUCAGUAAGAGAUGGGCUUGCCUCUGCCACUUGGAUUUACUUUCAUGUCUCCUGGCUCCAGGAAGCUAGUUCUAAUCAAGGAUGCACACCACUCAUCAGAAUGUUACAAUUUCUAUGUGAUCUGCUGCUUCAUUUUGUUCCAUUUAAGGUUUGGGGGAAUCAGAUGGAUAGGGCAUGCACAUUUUGAAAUCUGCAGCUCUGUGGACAAUGGGUUGUACGGGAUGGAGACCACAUACAUCGCAGACAAUGCAGUGCACACAUCUUACCAUACUUUCAGCUGCUGCAGGAAUCACCCAACUGUCCGGCCCUAUGAAGAGAUAUUUCCAUCACUGCAGACCUUUCUGCACAUUCCAUCACACACAGUCUGA